rnacentral:rRNA from 1 species
AUGUACUCGAUGCCCAACGGGGAUCAGGAGCAGGACCUAGAGGGAGAAGCGAGUGGAGGUGAGAGCGGCGAGUGGCGCUCUGACGACGAGGAGGAUGAGGAGAGCGACGACCUGAGUGAUGAAGAAGAGGUCGAUUCUCCUCCUUGUAGGGAAAAACGAUCCAAGCUUUCUCACGAUCUAGCAAGUGCCAGCGGCAAGGCGACCGCGCAGACUGGGCAGUCAUCGAAGCGCCCUCGAACGUCUUCUCCAGCAUCGACUGAAAAGGCGUCGAAGCAACCGAAAGCUACGCCGUCCAAACCGCCAAAGGCCUUGCCGAAGAUCAAAGUGGCCAUCCCCAUUACUUCCGGUGCCGCUACCUUUGGGACUUCCACUCGCCAGUAUGAAGAUGAGGACAUGGAAGAUGCGGUCACCUCCAACCUAGCCCCUCCCAAUGUCAUUGAGCUUCCGGAUGAUGACGAGGACGUGCCGCUGAGGCCCAGGAAGAGCAAGAAAACAACAGCUGGCAGGAUAUCUCGGUCGGAACCGGCAACAGAACCAACAGUCCAACGGCCCGAAGAUGCAAGUAGAGCCUCUGUAACCUUUGUUGUCCCAGUGUCGAGUGAUCACCCCGCACCGUCGACUGUACCGGUGUUUUCUUCAGCCAUCCAACCUCAUGCCUUGGAGCCCCAAGCUGCUGUGUCUGGACCGUCUGUCCCCUUCUUCACCACCUAUCAUGUUCCGGAAAGUCAGUCGGAUGCCGCCGCGGAGGCUAUCCGUCAGGCUGGCGUAAUGAUGGAGCGGAUGAAGGCGGUGCACGAUAAUAGUCAGGCUGCUUACGACGCCAGCGUGGCUCUUCGAGCCAAUGUCUAG